rnacentral:piRNA from 1 species
UUAGAAAGUCAAACUUAACUAAAUGCCAAAU